UCGUAACAAGGUCUCCGUAGGUGAACCUGCGGANGNAUCAUUACACAAAUAUGAAGGCGGGCUGGAACCUCUCGGGGUUACAGCCUUGCUGAAUUAUUCACCCUUGUCUUUUGCGUACUUCUUGUUUCCUUGGUGGGUUCGCCCACCACUAGGACAAACAUAAACCUUUUGUAAUUGCAAUCAGCGUCAGUAACAAAUUAAUAAUUACAACUUUCAGCAACGGAUCUCUUGGUUCUGGCAUCGAUGAAGAACGCAGCGAAAUGCGAUAAGUAGUGUGAAUUGCAGAAUUCAGUGAAUCAUCGAAUCUUCGAACGCACAUUGCGCCCUUUGGUAUUCCAAAGGGCAUGCCUGUUCGAGCGUCAUUUGUACCCUCAAGCUUUGCUUGGUGUUGGGCGUCUUGUCUCUAGCUUUGCUGGAGACUCGCCUUAAAGUAAUUGGCAGCCGGCCUACUGGUUUCGGAGCGCAGCACAAGUCGCACUCUCUAUCAGCAAAGGUCUAGCAUCCAUUAAGCCUUUUUUUCAACUUUUGACCUCGGAUCAGGUAGGGAUACCCGCUGAACUUAAGCAUAUCA
rnacentral:rRNA from 1 species